rnacentral:rRNA from 1 species
UACGUAGGGUGCAAGCGUUAAUCGGAAUUACUGGGCGUAAAGCGUGCGCAGGCGGUUCGUUAAGUCAGAUGUGAAAGCCCCGGGCUCAACCUGGGAACUGCAUUUGAAACUGGCGGGCUUGAGUAUGGCAGAGGGGGGUGGAAUUCCGCGUGUAGCAGUGAAAUGCGUAGAGAUGCGGAGGAACACCGAUGGCGAAGGCGGCAUCCUGGACCGAGAUUGACACUGAUGAGCGAAAGCCAGGGGAGCAAACGGG